AUACGGAGGGGGUUAGCGUUGUUCGGAAUUACUGGGCGUAAAGCGUACGUAGGCGGACUGGAAAGUUGGGGGUGAAAUCCCGGGGCUCAACCCCGGAACUGCCUCCAAAACUUCCAAUCUAGAGAUCGAGAGAGGUGAGUGGAAUUCCAAGUGUAGAGGUGAAAUUCGUAGAUAUUUGGAGGAACACCAGUGGCGAAGGCGGCUCACUGGCUCGAUUCUGACGCUGAGGUACGAAAGCGUGGGGAGCAAACAGGAUUAGAAACCCUAGUAGUCC
rnacentral:rRNA from 1 species